rnacentral:misc_RNA from 1 species
AAAAUAUUGAAGGAACGGAAGUACCAAUAGUAAAAGUAUUGAAGAUAACCGAAUAAAGGAAAUAAUAGUAGUGAUAUAACUGAAGCAUAAGAUAAUGCUAGCAUAAUAGUAAUAGUAUGACAAGGGAACAAAUAGAUGCACCAAGACUACAAGCUUCCAUGACCACUAUGAAGAGAGAAAAUGCUCUACAACCUACUUGCCGUUUGCCCUAAUCUUUGACCUCCAUGCCCUCUAUCUAGGAUCAUUUCCUCGGUAAACUAGAGAUAGUCAUAUCUUGUCUGAUCAUAUUUCCCCAAUUCUUUCUCAGUUUACCUCUAUCUCUCUUCAAACCUAUCACUACCAACCUCCGCAUCUUGUCUACACACGAAGGCUACUUCAGCCUUGCCUCACAUAUGUUCGUUCCUAAUCCUGUCUCUUCUAGUAUGCCCGCACAUCCAUCUAAGAAUCCUCAUUUCCUCUUAACUUCAUAUUCUGAAAAUGGGAGUUCUUGACUGGCCAUACUCCAUCUUGUACAACAUAGUUGGUCUAACAAUCACUCUAUAAAACUACCUUUAAGUCUCAAUGACAUAUUCACUUAGGACACAAGAUGUGCGCCUUUAUUUCAUCUGCCCCACUCCAAUACGAUGUGCAACAUCUUGUCGUUCUACCCAUUCCCUUGGAUUUUAG